AGUGAACGCUGGCGGUAGGCCUAACACAUGCAAGUCGAACGGCAGCACAGUAAGUGCUUGCUCUUACGGGUGGCGAGUGGCGGGCGGGUGAGAACUAAAUCGGUAUCUACUUUUUCGAGGGGGAUACGGUAGGGAAAUUUAUGCUACUACCGCAUAAGACAUACGGGUGAAAGCAGGGGAUCUUCGGCCCUUGCGCGUUGGACUGUGCCGAUGUCGGAUUAGCUAGUUGGUGGGGUAAAGGCCGACCAAGGCGACGAUCAGUAGCUGGUCUGAGAGGACGACCAGCCACACUGGGACUGAGACACGGCCCAGACUCCUACGGGAGGCAGCAGUGGGGAAUUGUGGACAAUGGGCGCAAGCCUGAUCCAGCAAUGCCGCGUGUGUGAAGAAGGCCUUCGGGUUGUAAAGCACUUUUGUCCGGAAAGAAAUCCUUGGCCCUAAUACGGUCGGGGGAUGACGGUACCGGAAGAAUAAGCACCGGCUAACUACGUG
rnacentral:rRNA from 1 species